rnacentral:rRNA from 1 species
UGAGUACGAGAUGCUACGGCAUUGAAGCAGUCUAUGUCAUACUUCUAAGAAAAGCUUGCACUGUCAUAAACAAAGAAUGCCUGUACCAUAACCGACACAGGUGGGUAGGUAGAGUAUACUAAGGGGCGCGAGAUAACUCUCUCUAAGGAACUCGGCAAAAUGACUCCGUAACUUCGGGAGAAGGAGUGCCUUAUUUUUAAGGUUGCAAUAACAAGAUCCAAGCAACUGUUUAUCAAAAACACAGGUCUCCGCUAAGUCGUAAGACGAUGUAUGGGGGCUGACGCCUGCCCAGUGCCAGAAGGUUAAAGAAGUUGGUUAGCAUUCGCGAAGCUGAUAACUGAAGCCCUGGUGAACGGCGGCCGUAACGAUAACGGUCCUAAGGUAGCGAAAUUCCUUGUCGGGUAAGUUCCGACCCGCACGAAAGGCGUAAUGAUUUGGAUACUGUCUCGGAGAGGGACUCGGUGAAAUAGACUUGUCUGUGAAGAUGCGGACUACCUGCACCUGGACAGAAAGACCCUAUGAAGCUUUACUGUAACUUGAAAUUGAAAUUGGACUUUAGUUGCGCAGGAUAGGUGGGAGGCGUUGAGAAUAUUCUUGCGGGAGUAUUGGAGCCAUCAGUGAGAUACCACUCUUCUAAUGUUAGAUUUCUAACUUUGUAUCAUUAUCUGGUCAAAGAACAGUUUCAGGCGGGCAGUUUGACUGGGGCGGUCGCCUCCUAAAGGGUAACGGAGGCGCACAAAGGUUUCCUCUGAACGAGUAGAAAUCGUAUCUAGAGUGUAAAGGCAUAAGGAAGCUUGACUGUGAGACCUACAAGUCGAGCAGGGACGAAAGUCGGUCUUAGUGAUCUGACGGUGCUGAGUGGAAAGGCCGUCACUCAACGGAUAAAAGUUACUCUAAGGAUAACAGGCUGAUCUCCCCCAAGAGUUCACAUCGACGGGGAGGUUUGGCACCUCGAUGUCGGCUCAUCGCAUCCUGGGGCGGUAGUACGUCCCAAGGGUUGGGCUGUUCGCCCAUGAAAGCGGUACGCGAGCUGGGUUCAGAACGUCGUGAGACAGUUCGGUCCAUAUCCGGUGUAGGCGUUAGAAUAUUGAGAGGAGCCUUCUCUAGUACGAGAGGACCGAGAAGGACAUACCUCUAGUGUACCAGUUAUCGUGCCAACGGUAAACGCUGGGUAGCUAUGUAUGGAGUGGAUAACCGCUGAAAGCAUCUAAGUGGGAAGCCCACCUCAAGAUAAGUA